GAUGAAGAACGCAGCGAAAUGCGAUAAGUAAUGUGAAUUGCAGAAUUCAGUGAAUCAUCGAAUCUUUGAACGCACAUUGCGCCCGCCAGUAUUCUGGCGGGCAUGCCUGUUCGAGCGUCAUUACAACCCUCAGGCCCCCGGGCCUGGCGUUGGGGAUCGGCGGAAGCCCCCUGCGGGCACAACGCCGUCCCCCAAAUACAGUGGCGGUCCCGCCGCAGCUUCCAUUGCGUAGUAGCUAACACCUCGCAACUGGAGAGCGGCGCGGCCACGCCGUAAAACCCCCAACUUCUGAAUGUUGACCUCGAAUCAGGUAGGAAUACCCGCUGAACUUAAGCAUAUCAAUAAGCGGAGGA
rnacentral:misc_RNA from 1 species